rnacentral:rRNA from 1 species
UGGGGAAUAUUGGGCAAUGGGCGCAAGCCUGACCCAGCAACGCCGCGUGAAGGAAGAAGGCUUUCGGGUUGUAAACUUCUUUUAUGAGGGACGAAAGAAAUGACGGUACCUCAUGAAUAAGCCACGGCUAACUACGUGCC